CUCGUAAGGGAACCCUCUGUUGUUUUUUUGUUUGUUUUUGAACCCAGAGGGUUUUUGUUUCUUCUGCGAGUAUACCACUCAAAGCCUUUGGUUUCCCAUAUCCAAGGUGUUUUCAGUGCUUUAGACUCAGCGUACUUGCUCUUUAUACUCUAUGCAGAUUUCCUAUAUUCAUAUUUACAUAUUUACAUAUUUACAUAUUUACAAGCGCGGGAGAAACCGGGGCGAGACGGCCGCUUCCAGUUAGAAUUGCUCUCGCCCGCGCACUUCUAACCUUCAGCCAAGACUAGGAGUGAAUUACGGUCACAGUUUUGUAUCUCAAAUUUUCAGCCUUCUGAUUGGCUAGAGAUGCAGUACGGGUUGUGGUGUACGUAACGUCCGUGAAAGUAAAAAGGCAAACAAAGAUGGCAGAAAAGAUGUAGCGUAUCUGCAAAAUUCCACUGGCAUCAGGCACAAAAAACGCGAAGUAAGCCGUCUAUAGCUAACACACCUGAAGAUAGGAAUUCUAACAUCAGGCACCAGUAGGUAUGUGUGAAUAUGCAGUUCGUGAUGGAAUUUAUUGAUUACAACCCGAUUGGAAGAAAAACAACCGAUUAAAACGUUAUGAUGGAAGAACAGCAAAAUAGCAUAUUAUAAACAUGAAAGUCGUUUUUGUUCUAUGGUAAUAGUUGUUGUGAUUGUUAUAAAUAUAUAUAUAUAAAAAUGAGUAAAAUUUGAAAAACCAGAAAAAGACGAUUGCUGUAAUAAUAUCUCCUAUAUAAUUUGAAAAAAGUCCGUCUGGGUGUGAGGCAAGGUAAAUUAUAUUUUCUACAAUUUUCUUUGCCUAAAGAAACAUCUUCUAAAACUAUGUUCUGUAUUUUGAAACUUCUUUAAUUGUCUAAAACAAAUCACAUGAUAAAAGGAAAUAAUUUCAUUAGCUGGGAAUUUUGGCAGUUUUACCCUAAUUUAAAUUUGCUAAAGGUUUUUUAAAAUGGACUCUUAUUAUACGAAUUUAUGUUUUGCGUUUGAAUGACGUUUUUAUAUGUCGAAUAUCCCAAAUAGAAAUUACUAUCUGCAAGGAAUCUUUUUACUCCUUGAUGGUUACUCAUGUUUCUAAUCAAAUAUUGGUAGAGCUUAGAGAUAUUUUAUAAUUUUGUUGUUUUGUACAACCUAUACUCAAUUUAUUUUGUUUUGUAAUUAUCUAAAAAAUAGAAAGUAACGAGCUGUGACUAUUGAAGACUGUUUACUUUUUGUUCUCAUUUUCUUGUAAUUUGAGUUAUUGUCGUGAGUUUUGUGAAAAAUAAUACCUUAAAAUUUUGUUUUAUGGUAAAGAAAUAUUGUA